GCUCAGUUGGGGCUAGUGGAGGAGGAACUGUUGACUCUCCAGGUUGUUGGGACCAUGAAGCUGGAUUAUGCUGACUGCAGAGUCUGACAGAUGCUGAGUGACUGCCAGCCCAGGAGAUGCCUGAGAUGGGCUUUAUGCACCUUUCUUCUGCAGAUAUCCAAAAGCUUUUGCAAACACUAAUGUAGACGCUUACAAAGAAGGCGGGAGAUUAACAAGCAGUAGUCACACCUGGGCUGGGUGCAAGGACAUAGAAGUGACAGCUGAGUGGAGUACUGCUUUCCCCUCAGCUGUAUACACCGUUGAUGACCGGAGCAGAGCCUAAUGUCUCCUGAAGAGUAAAGGCCAAAACCCUUCGGACGUCCAGAUAAAACAGCUGUCUCUCCUCUUCCAAGGCAUGAGGCUUAGAGAAAAAACACAGCAGGGCUGUGGUAGAACUGUGAGAUGGCCACAUCGCUGGUGUUCCCUGCACCGAAGCUGAAUUUCUCCGAUAUCUUUUUAAACGUCUUCCCGUAGUCAUACGACACAUAAACCUGCAAAAGAAAAGGCUCCCGCUGUUAUGGAGACACAGGUUUAAUUUCCGUGAUGGCAGUCCGUGCCCCUCUCUUGAGAACGGCUUCUUAAAGUUUUAUGCAACUGUUGGGGGGGAAAAACCACACAAUGCAGAAGGGACAGAGUCCACUCUCCUUUCUAUUGGCAACAACGGUGCCGGAAAACAAAGUGCACGAAACGCCCUUCAGGGAAGCCCAGGGGACAGCAGGUGCCAUGAUGUCCAGGAUGUGGAGCAGGUCGCAGGGAAUUAGAAUCAAGUAUGGAGAUACAGCAUCUUGGAAGGAACCACUGGCUUUAGAAGCUGAGCCUGGUGAUACCUGGGGGACAGACUGAUUUUCUCCCCCCCCCUUUCCCGCCAAGGAAAAAGACAUUAAGGAAACUCUCCAGUCAAGUCUCAGUUUCCUGUCCCCUACAUGCCAUUAAUAGCACACAGUACAGGAAAUUUACAAGCAAUGUGAUGCAGAUCACGAGGACUCAAUUUGUCUGCCUCAGUAGAUUCAUGGUUGAGUCAGCUGUAGCACCAUUUGAAUCUCUGUGGCAAGAAACUCUAAAUGUCUUAUAGAAGAAGAGGACAUCUUCUUUCAAGCAUAUAACAGAAAGACAUGCUCUUAAAAAGCAGCAGAAUAGGUUAAAACAUGUCACCUUAUAUAAAAGUACUUCCAAGGCUCUCUCCAUAAUUUAAAAAAAAGCUACUUACAUUGCUUUUCUUGGGUCUCAGUAACCCCAGGCUGUCUCUAGCCAAGGCCACAAUCACAUUGCUCUUUUCUCCUGCCCAGUGAACGACCAUCUGAUUGUGAGAGUCAUUCAGACUGACCUGAAACACAAAUGAAAUGAAUAUAAAAGGGUUAGCCAGGGCAAUGGACGUAGAAAUACCUAGACAGCCCCCACACAAGUAAUUUUUUCUUCCCUAUGUGCAAGGAUGGAGAAAAGUGUUUGCAGUAACAAUUUAAUUCAGAUAAAGACACUGAACAUUCAGUGUAACCAUGCAGACACUAACACACAGAUGUUUGGUUUUAGGACUAUUCCCUUGGAGGACUGGACAGCUCAGGAACUCGUGCUUUGUCAUAGUGCACUGGUUCUGUAGGUCAGUGGUUCUCAACUGUGGCCGCUGUGGGUGCAUGCGGCAGCCACCAGGGGCUUUUCUUGCAGCCACAUCCUCCUAGGCAGUCACUGAGCAGCGGUUCCUUUGCUGGGGCUGCAAGGAGAGGAUGUGCCCUGCCCCUUUUCGAGCCACAAGUGCCAGAGGAGCGGAGAGCUGGUGUGAGUUCCCCACCUUCCCAGGGGCCUCAGGCUUCAGGCCUGGGGUGGUGUGUGGCAGGCUCCAGCCCUGGGCUGUGACCAUGGGGUUUUGGAUUGUGGGUUUUGGCUGUGCAGUGGCGAGCUCUGUUUCCCCUGCCUCUGGGCUCACCACCCCCCUCAUCACUGCUGGCCCCUGCUGCAGCCUCCAGCAUCUCACCCAUCACCCUUGGCCCCCCAGUGUCUCCCUACCCACCUCCCCAUCCAGGGCUUAAUUUGUCCCCCAGUUUGCCAGGGCUGAGAGAGUCUGCUGUGAAAAGUGGUAUGUGUAUGUUUGUAAAUAUCACUCAUCACAGCCUCAGAGCUAGAUAACAAGUCUGCUGCUGUGAAAAGUGAUAUUAACAAAUAUCACUUUUCACAGGAGCAGACUUACUAGCUGGAAGUCUU